rnacentral:lncRNA from 1 species
AAAUGAGCUAUCCUUUCUCCUCUAGAAGAGCUGAAACAUAGUGAUCCUAUCAUUAGUCUCAGCUUUGUAAAUAUGCAGAAAGCCUCAAUAUUCAGCUGAGAUGGGAGGUGGGGUUCAGAUCCACACAGGGGCUGUCCAUACCAGGAUAUUUUUCAGCCUUCCUCCCUGAGGCAUCUGAUACUGCUUACAACCAGAAGCACGACUUGAGGCACAUGAGCUGUGAGGUAGGAGGAGAUCAGGGCCUCAUCUCUGCAACCAGGGAUGAGCUGUUCUGCCCCUCAAUGACCCAUUUUCGCUUCCCCCCCUUUCUCUUUUGCCAGUGUAAAAUGCAGGCUUCUUGAGGCCUCAGCUUGCUCGUUCACGCUGCACUCAGGCUGUGAUCCACCAUGUGCUACCAUGAUACAAAUAAUUGCUUUCAUGCUUUUUAAAAAACAGGCCCAAAAAUAUAACUGUUUAGACAAAAUACAUUGGGAAGAAGCUCUCAAGAUUUGACCCUUCCAGGAAAGCAAAUGCGUGUCUGUUUAUUGACCAUGUGAAGAGCAGUGCUGAGGGGAUGGACAUUCAUGAAGGGGCACAUUCUUAAAGCUUUACUUCUUCCUUUUAUUUUUUUUUUUUCCUGACAUUUACAGUGUUUUGUACUCUCUGGCAACCAGCAGAGCUCCACUGAUGCUGACUAGCAGAGCCCAUAGAGAUACUAAGGAAAUAUUUUUCCUAGCAACAAGCGUCACACAAAAACAUGAAGAAACGCUUCCCCUGCUCAUAUUUCCUUUCAAUUUUUUCAGUCAUCUGGUGCUGAGAUAAGAGCUGCGUGGUGAAACCUGCUGCUAGUUUGUGUUUCGCAGGCAAUCUGGAGCACUGAGGAACACGCCAGGCCUGCCAUUAGAGCAGCGUGCAGCCUAAGAUGGCAGCCGUGCCAGCCAUGCUGAAAAUGUGUGCAGAUGUGAAGCCAACAGCAGCAGCAGAAAGGCUUUGUCAACACCAGCAAAUCACUGAUUCUACCUCUGCAAGGUCAGCUUCUGAAGGCAACGUGUCUAAGACCACAGCUCCACAACCGACCUAAAGGAGUGCUGAACCCGUGUGCUUCACAGUGGUUAACCAGGAAGAGGAGGAAGGAUUGUCCUGUUGUGAGUAUUAUUAGGAGUGUUCCAGACAGUUUGUAACGUCGUCAUUGCUGUACCCAGACCUCAGGGCUGGAGCCCUAGAUUAAAAUUGUAUGUGUUUUACUUUUUCUUUUUUCCAGAAACACAAACACUGCUGUUAAAUGCAGUUGUUACAGGAUAUUUGAUAUUCAUCGAAUAAGUUACUAAGAAAUGAAUUGAACUCCCCUAGGCUGAAGAAAAAAAAAAAAAGAACUGAAUUAGGUACAAAUUAGGAGCUUUUGCAUACGGUUCUCAGUAUAUAGUAAGGAAAAAAUUUGCAUCAGAGGCAUUUAUUGUUAAGUUAAAACUGUCCAGAGUGUGCUGAUUACAAAGUCCAUUUUACUGAAAAAGAUAAAAAUAUUGGCAGUGACUGGAAGGUAUGAAAAUAAAUGUAUUAAUAACUCCA